GAGUUUGAUCGUGGCUCAGAUUGAACGCUAGCGGGAUGCCUUACACAUGCGAGUCGAACGGCAGCACGGACUUCGGUCUGGUGGCGAGUGGCGAACGGGUGAGUAAUGUAUCGGAACGUGCCUAGUAGCGGGGGGAUAACUACGCGAAAGCGUAGCUAAUACCGCAUACGCCCUACGGGGAAAGGCAGGGGAGUCGCAAGACCUUGCACUAUUAGAGCGGCCGAUAUCGGAUUAGCUAGUUGGUGGGGUAACGGCUCACCAAGGCGACGAUCCGUAGCUGGUUUGUAGAGGACGACCAGCCACACUGGGACUGAGACACGGCCCAGACUCCUACGGGAGGCAGCAGUGGGGAAUUUUGGUACAAUGGGGGAAACCCGUGAUCCAGCCAUCCCGCGUGUGCGAUGAAGGCCUGG
rnacentral:rRNA from 1 species